rnacentral:rRNA from 1 species
AACCUGCGGAAGGAUCAUUACCGAGUGAGGGCCCUCUGGGUCCAACCUCCCACCCGUGUCUAUCGUACCUUGUUGCUUCGGCGGGCCCGCCUCACGGCCGCCGGGGGGCAUCCGCCCCCGGGCCCGCGCCCGCCGAAGACACACAAACGAACUCUUGUCUGAAGAUUGCAGUCUGAGUACUUGACUAAAUCAGUUAAAACUUUCAACAACGGAUCUCUUGGUUCCGGCAUCGAUGAAGAACGCAGCGAAAUGCGAUAAGUAAUGUGAAUUGCAGAAUUCAGUGAAUCAUCGAGUCUUUGAACGCACAUUGCGCCCCCUGGUAUUCCGGGGGGCAUGCCUGUCCGAGCGUCAUUGCUGCCCUCAAGCACGGCUUGUGUGUUGGGCUCUCGCCCCCCGCUUCCGGGGGGCGGGCCCGAAAGGCAGCGGCGGCACCGCGUCCGGUCCUCGAGCGUAUGGGGCUUCGUCACCCGCUCUGUAGGCCCGGCCGGCGCCCGCCGGCGAACACCAUCAAUCUUAACCAGGUUGACCUCGGAUCAGGUAGGGAUACCCGCUGAACUUAAGCAUAUCAAUAAGCGGAGGAA